CCCCUGCUCUGUCUCUCUCUCUCAAAAUAAAUCAACUUUAAAAAAAUAUAUAAUUUUCUGGAAGCAACCCAGAAUUCAGUCUGGAAUCUCUGGGGAAGAACACUUCACUUGUAGUAAGUUUUCCCAGUGACACCAAAGCAUAGUAACAUUUGAGAACCACUUGUUCCAGAUCGAACGGAUAGCAUAAACUGUCUUUGACAUCAUAUAAAAACAAGGACAGAGAAACCACCUCUAUCCAUCUCAACUGAACUAUGCAAACAAGGUAAAUUCAACAAUUGGCCCAAAUGAGUUAGGUCACCUUCAUCAUACUUCACAAUAGACAACUGAGUCAUAAAACAGAGAUAAAAGGACAGUGGUGAAAGGGGCCCCAAAUUUUGAGUCAAGAAGACUGGGGUCAAAUCCUGCCUCAGGUUCCAACUUUCUUCCUCCCUUAAACUCUGAGCUUCCAGUUCUUCAUCUGUCAAGCAUGUACGAUGAUAGCAAUGCCUGUAUCUUCAACAGUAUUAUUGCAAAAGUUUCUACAAAAAGAGAGCUCGACAUAUCUCAGCCAUGUGAUGUGAAGAAAAUGGAGAAAGCAAACAAAAAUCAUCUCCGUUCCAGUUCUGGUUCAGCUUCUGACAGAAGGCCAGGAAACUGAGAAAGAACCAACCCUCAGAAGGAUGAGAGAAGCACAGUCCACCAGGCUAACACUGAGCAGCAAACUUGAAGACCACAAGGUGGAAAUUCAGACUGAGGUCUUAUAGAGGGCAUAGGGCGUGGGUCCAUCGUUAAUAAAACAGUAAAGACCCAGGA